rnacentral:rRNA from 1 species
UACGAAGGGGGCUAGCGUUGCUCGGAUUGACUGGGCGUAAAGGGCGCGUAGGCGGUUCGUACAGUCAGACGUGAAAUUCCUGGGCUCAACCUGGGGGCUGCGUUUGAUACGUGCGGACUUGAGUGCGGAAGAGGGUCGUGGAAUUCCCAGUGUAGAGGUGAAAUUCGUAGAUAUCGGGAGGAACACCGGCGGCGAAGGCGGCGACCUGGGUCGAGACUGACGCUGAGGCGCGAAAGCGUGGGGAGCAAACAGG